CUAAUGUCAUUUUGAACUUCUUUAUUCCAGCACACUCUGCAGGGUGAAACCUUAAGGGAAGCCAUAGAGAAUGAAUGAUUGGUAUUCAGCCAAGCUUUGCCUAUGUCUUUCCAUGACCAAAAACAAUUAGGUGAAAAGGGGAAAAAUGCAAUUGGCUAUUGUUUUAUCUGCCUGGUCCCAAACAAUCCAUAUGAAUAUUUGGGAAUUUUUUUUUUUUUUUUGUACAGUGAUGGUUGCAUUUUCAUUAUGUAGCCAUAGCAAAAGUUUUCAGUGAGAAAGUUUCAUUUCAGAAACAAAUGAGGUCAAUGGCUUCUUGUUUUAGGAAGGGGGGUAGCGGGGACAUUGGAGUAAGAGGAAGUCCUAUGUCAGAGGGCUCUACACACACUUUCCUGAAAUACGUCGGCUAUGUGUAAAUGUAAUCUGUUAUUUUAACUAUUCAUAAUAGCUGUGUUUUGUCCUUUCUCCCAUUACAUUAUAAAAUUGAUGAUAUAAAUAUGGUGAAUCUUUAUUUUUCAAAGAUUCCUCCCUACGUCUGUAAUAGAUUGCAUUUUAUUCUUUCCAAAGGUCUCAAAAACUACGGGAUUAUUGUUAAAAAACAAACACGUUUUGGAAGACUACUGACCAGUAGCCAGAAGGAAGGUCCUGAGUCAUCGAAGUGUUCUCCAGCUGGCAAAGGAGUAUGAAAACCCCCUGGCCAGAUCUGUCCUUGCUGGAGCAUCGAGAAUAGAGUACGAUUACGAUACCAAAAUCUACAAAAUGUGAAAGAGUAAAGGAAAACUAUCAGUCCAUGACGUCCGGGAUGGUUGGUCGAUUGGUGCACUCCUGUAUCCUUGCGCAAUGCACGUACUCACCAGGUACUUCCAUAAGAAGACUAAAUCACUACUUCGACCUAUGAUGCCAUUUUCCGAGUCCACAGUCUUUAUCUGCAGUUCUGAAAAACAAAGUUUAUUUUAUGAUUAGUGCCAAACCUUAUUUGGCAGCAAAACCUGACCUGAACUGGCAUGAAGCUAUUUAUGUUAUGUUUUACUCCAGAAAUGUUACAGUAUAUGCUUGUGGAAGGCUACCCUAGGCUCUGUCAGGGGGGUUACAUAUUAAAUGUUAUAUAUAUUUUUUACUUUUCUAAAAAUCCAUGAAGAGUGUUGGUUCUGAAACGCUGGUGGCCCAAGUGCUUUGGAUCGAGACCAGUGGAGCUGCACUGUCGCCUGAUUGCUAGUCUGUGUCCCCACCAGAGUGUGAGGCCUUGGUUCCUUAUACCUGCCUGGUGUCUAGUGGGUCCCAACAAAUAUAAAUAAAAAAGUCCGUGAAUAUUUGCUCUCAAUUUAACGUAUUUAAAUUUAUCGACUUUCUUCUAUUCAUAUUUUUUAAAUGUUAACUACUUUGAGAAAGAAGAGUUAGAGCUGGGGUUCCUGGCUGGCUCAGUUGGUACAGCAUGUGACUCUUGAUCUCAGGGUUGUGAAUUUGAGCCCCACGUGGAGCACAGAGGUUCCUUAAAGGAAAAAUAAAAAGGGCAAACAGUCCUUUUUGAAAAAAUUUUUUAAGUGAAAACACAAAUAUUUGGCCAGAUUGAAAAAUCCGCACCAGAACCAAGAAUAAUAUCAUGUUUCCUGGUGUUUAGAUUUGUGUUUUCUUAUGUAGAUAAGACUAAUAUCAUAAAGGCCAGAUAACUCAAAGGCCAAGAGAAACACUUUUCUUUAAAAUGCUAUUGAAAUCUUACUAGCUAAAAAGCUAAAAAAAAUUAUCAUAAUGUAGGCAAGGAUAUAGUGAAACGGGCAUUCUCCAACGAUGCAAGUAGGAGUAUGGAGUGUUAGAGUGUAUCUAGAAAGCCCGUUACAGUACAGAUCAAGAAGGUUAAAAAAUUUACAUCUGCAGUAAAUAAUAGAAUAUUUAGCACAUAUUACCAAAGAAACAUUUAUAUUCUUGAGGCAUAUCAGUUUGGUUAUUUCUUUAGGACAUUCCAGCAGAUAAGCUGCAUCCCUGAAAGUAGCCAAUAUUUAGUUUUAUAAGGCCUGCUAUGUUAAUAUUUUUAUAUGGAAUGUUUUUAAAGCUUUCUUUUGUUCAAACACCUUUUUAAAAUGUUACAGCUCCUAUUCUGUCUUGUUUAAACAUGUGUAAGUACAUGACAAGGUAACUUAAAAAUUUCUCAUACGUGGGGCACCUGGGUCGUUCGGUCGGUUGGGCAUCUGACUCUUGAUUUUGGCUCAGGUCAUGAUCCCAGGGUCGUGGGAUCAAGCCCUGUUUCGGGCUCCACAGUAAGCUUAACAUUCUGUCUCUCUUCCUCUGCCCCUCUUUCUGGAGCGUGCUCUCUCUCUCUCAAAUUAAAAAAAAAGUCUCUCA